rnacentral:tRNA from 1 species
GGGCAUGUAGCGCAGUUGGUAGCGCGCUCGCUUAGCAACUUGAAGUUUGUAUGCGAGAGGUCUUGGGUUCAAAUCCCAACUUGUCCA